rnacentral:rRNA from 1 species
AUUUUGGGUUAUUUGGGUUUAUAGUAAGUGUUUUUCUAAAUGUAACUUUGUGUAAUUAAGUAUCAUUCAAUAAGUAAUUUUAUUAACUUUUUUGUUUCUCAUUUACAUCCCGUCUGUUUAUUAAAAACAUUUCCAUAUCAUUUAUUUUAUAUGGUAGUACCUGCUCUAUGUGUUAUAAAUGGCCGCAGUAUCUUGACUGUGCGAAGGUAGCAUAAUUAAUUGCCCCUUAAAUGGGGGCUUGUUUGAAUGGUUUGACGUGGUUGUCUUUAACAUAAGAGUUUUUAUUGAAAUUAAUGUUGUGAAUUCAGAAUUUACAUUAGUUAAUUAGACGGAAAGACCCUAGGAUCUUUACAAAUUUUGCUUGGGGCAAGUGAGAAUUAUUUAUUUGCUUUAAGACCCUUAUAAAAGUUUAUAGGUUUAAGUUACCCUAGGGAUAACAGAGUAAUAGUUUAUUAGAGUUCUUAUCGAUUAAACUGUUUGCUACCUCGAUGUUGACUUGGGUUAAUGCUCUGGCGCAGUAGUUAGAGGUUUGGGUCUGUUCGACCCUAAGUACCCCCAUGAGUUGAGUUAAGACCGGCGUAAGCCAGGUCGGUUCUUAUCUAUUUUACUAAAAUAGUUUGCAAUCCUUUCGUACUAACAAACUAGAAAAAUAGAUAAGAACCGACCUGGCUUACGCC